rnacentral:rRNA from 1 species
CCCUACGGGGCGCUUGGCCAGAUACCUUAUGGUGUUUACGGUGGUAUGCGUACGCAGCAGCGCCCUCUCCGCUUCCUCUCGGGACCAGGCGUAGCGCCAGCCCAAUGAACCCGUAUCCCCUCCGUUCUCAUGCACCGCCUUUACCUUCUGUACUAUCUCCUCGUCAUCCAGAGGGAGCUUGCUGGGGUUCUUCAGGUAGAACGUGUCCUGCAGGUCGCGGGCGGGAUGGUCCUGCGGGGUGAACAGCGCGUCCAUGUUCCAGAACGCCGGCUGCACGUGCUCGUCAUCUAUCUCGUUGAAGCCCAUCUCGAUGAAUAUGCGGCGCACCUCGUCCGCGAUCCUGGUGAUGGGGUGCUUCUUGGCGGGGGGGC